CCCUUAGAUGUUCUGGGCCGCACACGCGCUACACUGAAGGAGGCAGCGUGUACUCCUGGAUCGAAAGAUUUGGGUAACCCGCGAAUCUCCUUCGUGCUAGGGAUUGAGGUUUGCAAUUAUCCUUCAUGAACGAGGAAUUCCCAGUAAGUGCAAGUCAUAAGCUUGCGCUGACUACGUCCCUGCCCUUUGUACACACCGCCUGUCGCUACUACCGAUUGAAUGAUUUAGUGAGGACUUCGGACUGGGACCGAUGCGGCUUUCGGGCUGCGUCGGUAUUCUGGAAAGAUGUCCAAACUGUAUCAUUUAGAGGAAGUAAAANUCGUAACA
rnacentral:rRNA from 1 species